GCCCAGGUAGCUCAGUUGGUAGAGCACAGCACUGAAAAUGCUGGUGUCGGCUGUUCAAAUCAGCCCCUGGGCACCA
rnacentral:tRNA from 2 species